GACGAACGCUGGCGGCGUGCUUAACACAUGCAAGUCGAACGGAAAGGCCCUGCUUUUGUGGGGUGCUCGAGUGGCGAGCGGGUGAGUAACACGUGAGUAACCUGCCCUUGACUUUGGGAUAACUUCAGGAAGCUGGGGCUAAUACCGGAUAGGAGCUCCUGCUGCAUGGUGGGGGUUGGAAAGUUUCGGCGGUUGGGGAUGGACUCGCGGCUUAUCAGCUUGUUGGUGGGGUAGUGGCUUACCAAGGCUUUGACGGGUAGCCGGCCUGAGAGGGUGACCGGCCACAUUGGGACUGAGAUACGGCCCAGACUCCUACGGGAGGCAGCAGUGGGGAAUAUUGCACAAUGGGCGGAAGCCUGAUGCAGCAACGCCGCGUGCGGGAUGACGGCCUUCGGGUUGUAAACCGCUUUCGCCUGUGACGAAGCGUGAGUGACGGUAAUGGGUAAAGAAGCACCGGCUAACUACGUG
rnacentral:rRNA from 1 species